rnacentral:lncRNA from 1 species
UCCCCUCAGGUGUCCAUCUUAGGGCUACUCUGGUCAAGUCCUCUGCUGGUCUUCUAAGAACAUGGCCAAUCCAUCUCCAUCUUUUCUGCUUCAAUAAAGUCUCCAUGUUGUUGGAUCCUGUUGUUUCAUGGAGGUCUUUGUUGGUGAUCUUACGCGGCCAGAAUAUCCUUAAGAUCUUUCUAAGGCAACCGUUGUGAAAACUGGAGAGCUUGUUGAUGUCUUU